UACGGGGGGGGGCAAGCGUUGUUCGGAAUUAUUGGGCGUAAAGAGCUCGUAGGCGGCUCGUCGCGUCAGCUGUGAAAACCCGCAGCUUAACUGUGGGCUUGCAGCUGAUACGGGCGGGCUAGAGUUCGGUAGGGGAGACUGGAAUUCCUGGUGUAGCGGUGAAAUGCGCAGAUAUCAGGAGGAACACCCGUGGCGAAAGCAGCUCUCUGGGACGGUACUGACGCUGAGACGCGAAAGCGUGGGGAGCGAACAGG
rnacentral:rRNA from 1 species